rnacentral:rRNA from 1 species
CCGCUCGGGGCGGGCGAGGGUGGGUUACGUCCCGCAACGAGCGCAACCCUUGAGCUUAGUUGCCAUCAUUAAGGUGGGCACUCUACGGUGACUGCCGGGGACAACCCGGAGGAAGGUGGGGAUGACGUCAAAUCAUCAUGCCCCUUAAGACCUGGGCUACACACGUGCUACAAUGGACCCUACAAAGAGCUGCAAGACCGCGAGGAGGAGCAAAUCUCAAACAACCCUUCUCACUUCGGAUUGU